rnacentral:rRNA from 1 species
ACAGGGAUUGCCCUAGUAACGGCGAGUGAAGCGGCAACAGCUCAAAUUUGAAAUCUGGCUCUUUCAGAGUCCGAGUUGUAAUUUGCAGAGGGCGCUUUGGCUUUGGCAGCGGUCCAAGUUCCUUGGAACAGGACGUCACAGAGGGUGAGAAUCCCGUACGUGGUCGCUAGCUAUUGCCGUGUAAAGCCCCUUCGACGAGUCGAGUUGUUUGGGAAUGCAGCUCUAAAUGGGAGGUAAAUUUCUUCUAAAGCUAAAUAUUGGCCAGAGACCGAUAGCGCACAAGUAGAGUGAUCGAAAGAUGAAAAGCACUUUGGAAAGAGAGUCAAACAGCACGUGAAAUUGUUGAAAGGGAAGCGCUUGCAGCCAGACUUGCUUGCAGUUGCUCAUCCGGGCUUUUGCCCGGUGCACUCUUCUGUAGGCAGGCCAGCAUCAGUUUGGGCGGUGGGAUAAAGGUCUCUGUCACGUACCUUCCUUCGGGUUGGCCUUAUAGGGGAGACGCCAUACCACCAGCCUGGACUGAGGUCCGCGCAUCUGCUAGGAUGCUGGCGUAAUGGCUGUAAGCGGCCCGUCUUGAAACACGGACCAAGGAGUCUAACAUCUAUGCGAGUGUUUGGGUGUCAAGCCCGAACGCGUAAUGAAAGUGAACGGAGGUGGGAACCCGCAAGGGUGCACCAUCGACCGAUCCUGAAGUUUACGGAAGGAUUUGAGUAAGAGCAUGGCUGUUGGGACCCGAAAGAUGGUGAACUAUGCUUGAAUAGGGUGAAGCCAGAGGAAACUCUGGUGGAGGCUCGCAGCGGUUCUGACGUGCAAAUCGAUCGUCAAAUUUGGGCAUAGGGGCGAAAGACUAAUCGAAACUAUCUAGUAGCUGGUUCCUGCC